UACGUAGGGGGCAAGCGUUGUCCGGAUUUAUUGGGCGUAAAGAGCGUGUAGGCGGUUUGGUAGGUCCGCUGUGAAAACUCGAGGCUCAACCUCGAGACGCCGGUGGAAACCAUCAGGCUAGAGUCCGGAAGAGGAGAGUGGAAUUCCCGGUGUAGCGGUGAAAUGCGCAGAUAUCAGGAAGAACACCCGUGGCGAAGGCGGCUCUCUGGGACGGUACUGACGCUGAGACGCGAAAGCGUGGGGAGCGAACAGG
rnacentral:rRNA from 1 species